rnacentral:rRNA from 1 species
GUGGGGAAUCUUGCGCAAUGGGCGAAAGCCUGACGCAGCCAUGCCGCGUGAAUGAUGAAGGUCUUAGGAUUGUAAAAUUCUUUCACCGGGGACGAUAAUGACGGUACCCGGAGAAGAAGCUCCGGCUAACUUCGUGCCAGCAGCCGCGGUAAUACGAAGGGGGCUAGCGUUGCUCGGAAUUACUGGGCGUAAAGGGCGCGUAGGCGGACAGCUUAGUCAGAGGUGAAAGCCCAGGGCUCAACCUUGGAAUUGCCUUGGAUACAGGCUGUCUUGAGUUUGGGAGAGGUGAGUGGAACUCCGAGUGUAGAGGUGAGAUUCGUAGAUAUUCGGAAGAACACCAGUGGCGAAGGCGACUCACUGGCCCAAUACUGACGCUGAGGCGCGAAAGCGUGGGGAGCAGACAGGAUUAGAAACCCGGGUAGUCC